rnacentral:misc_RNA from 1 species
CCUGACCCUCCGCUUGCUCGAGAAGAUGAUAAAAUUCCUCCGGGUCGAAUUCGAGGCAUUCCAGAAGUCUUGCCGGUCGUGAGAUUACUAGCAAUAAUUUUUUAAUCAGUCCCGUCAGUCUGGCGGCAGCUUCCAGUGAUUUCUCCUUAGUCUCCAUCAGUAAUAUUUCCAAGUUUUCGCUCAUUUCGUAAAAAUACCUAGAGGUGAUCAAUUUCUCUUGAGAUUUUUGGAGGCAGUCGCGAGCCAUUUCUAUAACCUGAUGAUGUACGAAUCUGAGGAUCGGUAAAUAAUCUUGAUUCAUGUGCGUAACCAUUUCGUAUUCAGAUAUCUGCUUGCUAUCGGCAACUAUUUUGCUUGUAUUUCAACUAACUACAAGCCAAAAUCAAAUGACAACAAGUUAUUAGCGAGUGUUUCAAUUUAAAACCCACCACAGAUCGGCGACUGGCAACGCGGUAGAGUCGGUGAAGUUGUAGCAAUGAACGACUUUCGAUGAGCUGCUUUUGCUGCCCUUCGAGGAAUAUUGAAGUCACGC